rnacentral:snRNA from 1 species
AGCUUUGCGCAGUGGCAGUAUCAUAGCCAAUGAGGUUUAUCCGAGGCGUGAUUAUUGCUAAUUGAGAAGGCAGAAUAGACUAUGAUGAGGAAACCUAUGACAUCAAGCCCUUCUUG